GGCUUCCUGGUUGAGUGCUAAGGACACUUGCCUUUCACCCAGGAGUCCCGGGUUCCAUCCCCGGUCGAGGAGCUA
rnacentral:tRNA from 1 species